UGUUGUUGGUAUAUACAAUUCGAUGAAAAAAAUAUAUUUAGAAACGAGUACGACGACGACGAGUACGACGACGACUACGACUACGACUACGAGGACGAUAGUAUAGGUCAAACGCAUAGUACGUAAGAAAGUUAAGGGAAAUACGUUUGAAAGGAAAGAGGAGUAUCUCAUCGAGUAGUGGGAAACGUAAAUAAACAUUCUAAGCGUUACAAGUUGGUUUAUAGGUUUCACUUUAGAGAACGGCUCAGUAUUCCUUUAUAUAACUAGUCGAACGAGAGACGCGUCGAAGGACACACGUAUAUAAUUCUCCGCUCUCCGCUUUUCGCAAUUUUUUUACUUGAUGAUAGAGGUACAUUCAUAUAGCCAUAUUAUCCUUUAUCCCGGUGUUAAAAUUUUUUUUCUACAAAUUUAUCAUUGUAACGUCAUCAACUAAUAUAGGCUUGCGGCUAAAGGAACGUUCGGUGAAGAAUUUUAGGGGGGUGGACAGGGCUGAGGCAUGGAAGAAAUGAAGAAUGAGGAAGAAUAAGAAGAAAGAGGAGGAGGAAGAAGAAGAAGAAGAAGAAGAAGAAAUGAGGGAGGCUAUCACCGCGACCCUUCGACCGUGUACUCGGCUUAAAGUUGAGUACACACAGUUUAAUCGACGCGAAAACGGUUUCUUUAUCCUUAGAAAAACGUUCGUUUUUUCUUUUCUUUUCUCUCUCUCUCUCUCUCUCUCUCUCUCUCUUCUUCUUCUCUUUUCUUAUUCUUUUUUUCUUUUUUUUCAUUUUCCUUCCCGGAGGAAAGUCAUUUACGUCUACACUGUUUACAGCCUAUUUUUUUUUUGUCUCCUUCCUUUCCGUUUUUUUUUCUUUCUUUCUUUUUUUCUUUCUUUUUUUCUUUCUUUCGGCCAUUUGUCUUACAAAGCCACUUCGUCCUUUAGUUUCUCGAUCGUUAAAGUAAAGAAAAUAGAAAUAUUUUGUUGCUAAGCGUAGUUUAGACAAGAGGGAAGAAAAAAAAUGUUCUCUCAUGAGUCGUCACAGUGGUGACAGAGUAAGAGGAUAAAGACGUAGGAGAAGGAGAGAGAGGAUAGUGGAAAGAGAGAGAGAGAGAGAGAGAGAGAGAGAGAAAGGAAAGAGAGGAGAAGAAGAAAACGUUCAUUGUCAUGAGGAGACGAUGCGUGGAAACCGAGUCAGUAGUGGUGUGAGAGUAAAUGGAGUUUACUGGGAGUGGACGGUAUUCCCUCAGCCUCUUUUCGAGGGUCAUCGUUUGUGCGAAACCGCUAAGUGGACUUUGCGGCACCGAUGUGAACCAUCGUUUAAAUCGACCGAUAAGAAUAACCACGAAAACGGUGAAAACGGAGAAAGUGAGACGAGACUCAUCCGUAGUGGAUGAAUUAGAACACGAUUCAUCCGUAAUUGGAAACCGUACGGCGGUCACUCGGGGCAUCUAAUUCCGGGUCCCAACCCGCAUACAGGUAAAAUAAUAUUCGGGAACACGUGCUGCGAAUACGAGACAUCCUCCUCGCAUCCUCCUGAAAAUCUAGGAGCUUGGUAUUAGAUUCCUGACAGCCUAGACGUCGAUAGGAUUUCAAGAAAGUUAGAGUGCGGCAUAAAAAAAAAAAAAAAAAAAAAAAAAAAAAAAAGAAAAAAAAAAAAAAAAAAAAAAAAACAAAGAAGGAAAAAAAAAAAAAACAAAAAAAAAAAAAAAGAAAAACUUUCUAGUUGUUAUUACGAUAGACUUUCCGUCUUCUCCGAGUAUUCUUUCCGUAAGACCGAUCGUGAGAGGCAUUAUGGCUGUACCAUGAAAUUUUCUUACGACGAAACUGAGAUUUUGGAGCGUUUAUAAUUUUUAUCGGUAUAAAAAAGAUCUUUAUAAUCUUUAAUGGCAAAAGAAAUUUUUAUUAGCUGUUAAAAAAAAAAAAAAAAAGAAAAAAAAAAAAAUCAAUCUUUUCAAUUACGA